rnacentral:lncRNA from 1 species
GUUGAUUUAUGGUGAGAUAACCUAGAGAAGUAUCGAUGUGUAUCUUCAGUUCAUAGUUGUCCUGUUUGUUACUACAAACCUGAAAGCUAUAAACUCAAGAUGUUCUUCUCACAUGAAAGUAUAGUCUCUCUUUUGAUUUAUUUUAAUUCCCAUUUCUGGCAAAAACUAAAUAAUGUACUGAAUUGUAGUUUUGUAUUACUUAUAUAUUAUUUCAUCAAGCAGUGGUAUGCAUUGGCAUCCAGUGAUGUUUAUUUCUUUGGAAUGUUUGAUAGGUAAUUGCAGGAGUUGAUGAUAUGUAUCGUCCAGCACCGUUACUUGAGGUAACCUAUUUAACUUUAUAACCGAGUAAAUCAACUGAAUUUUCCCAUGGUGAGCUAGCUUCAACUGUUCCUGUUUGGGUUAUGUUUAUCAGUAGUUGUAAUAGUUCAUGGUGUGGUCAGUGCCAUUUAACAUCAUAUUCUGCCUAUGGUAUUAAAUAUUUUAGAUUAAUCUCAAAUAUUGGAUUUUGUCUGAAUGUUGGCCAUCGACUGUCAUAUUGUGCAUAUUUGUGAUUCGGAUUUCUUUUUAUGCCAUUGUUCAGACAUUACUCAAAAUCUCCGAUUUGUCAAAAACUUUUCUUGAUUAGAUGAUAAUGUGAUAUACAUGGUGACUGCUAUUAAAUGAGUCCAUCCACUUACACCCUUAUAAGCGAGCAACUAAUUGAUAGUAAAUCUGUAACCCAUUGUUUCCGACUUAUGCGCAUAUUUGGUUCGGCCUGUAAAUCUAUAGCCCAUUGCAUAGCUGCGACCGUGGUUUGGCCUGCAAUUCCUGCUGGCUAUGCUGAUGGCCCUACCGCUGUGAUUGACGCCGAUGUCCUUCUGUAGUGACAGAUGUUGCACGCCAGAUAGGUCUCGACGGCGUGCAAUAUUUAGUUUUAGCUUUAUUGUGUGAGUUUUUUUGUGUUUUUCUGGUUUUCCAUUGGUCCUAAAUUGUACAUCGAAAUCAGUGUAGAUGUAUUAAGAGAGAUGAGCUACUAUGUAGGCAUUAGUUGUUUUUGUUAUGUACCUGGUUACUUAAUAAUCGUUCUUAAUAUUGAAAAGGGACAGAAAUAAGCUGAGUAUUUGAUCUGACUUGGUAGUGUUUGCCGGUUAACGCAUCUAUGUCAUUAGACCAGUUCUUUUUUCUUCUCACAGUUUGUCAUUUAGAAUGAUUUUUUAGAGGAACCAGGAACUGGUUCCUGAUUCACUUUGUCCUCUUUGUUGAUGAUCCUUUUCUUCCUAUGGUUAUGCAGGCUUGAGUCUCAGUUUGAUCUUACAGUUCUACGGCUCAAAGGUUGAUGACUGCCAUGAGGCACUACCCAGUUAAAUCUUCGUAAGUUGUUGACCAUGAACUUUUCUUCUUAAUUAUUUUCAUCUUCUUAGCCUUGCCACAUCAUCUCUUAAAAAUAGUUUGAAUCCAUCAACCGUGUGCUCUGCCUAUGCAAUUCAUUGAACCGUAAGAUUAAAACCUUGAUAAGGUGUAGCCCUGUCUCCAACUACCUUCUGAAUAUUAACAUUUUUGUUGGAAAAAGAAGAAAGAUUAAAUCAUAGUUUGCACUAAAUGAAAAUGAGUUUUUUUUACAUUUUGUUCACUCACUAGGAGGGUCACUAUUUAUAUGCUUGCUUCAACUUUUUCCGGAUCACCAUGUAAAUCAUUUGUACAGGAGCUCUGGAACAAGAAAAACAAUAAUCACAAGGAUGGAGGCUUAACAUGUAUUUUGUUUGCCAUCUGGUGUUUAUCUAAUUUUUUCAUGGGUGACCAAAACCAGAUUACCUUUUCUAAUGUUAGUAUUGGAGUGUUAUCUGCAAUGGCAUCUACUAUAUAUGCUGAAAGUAGUUUUAUUUAUCUUUAGAACUUGAUAUAUUUUCUAAAACCACUUAUUAUGCUUCUAUUUGUAUCUAUGACUUCUGAAGCAAGUCAACACACACACAGGCAAAUAAACCAAACUGCCGUAGAGUCACUGUAUACAAGGAAGCUUGGUUGUUUAUAUUUUCAGAAAAAUGGAUCUAUCAUGAUUAAGAUAUGGUCAACAUGUAUAUAUUUGGUUCUACUGUGCUCUCUAGUGUUGCUUACCAAUGUGAUUGCUUAAUGAUUACUACGACAUAUCUUGCUAGGUUCAAGCUGACAACAAUCCUCUUGGUCUUAAAAAUUUUGUCGAGGCGGCAGGGAUCAAAGAAUAACAGAUCUGGGUCUUCGUCUUCCAAGAUUAGAAGGGGGAAACCAUCGCUCACUCUCCAUAUGCUUUAAAAGCAAAUCUCAAGUGCAUUGCCUAUACAAAAAUAAUUUUGUGGUCAUCUAUCUCACAAACUAUUCACAUCAAGUUCAUAUGGAAUGGCACUCACGGAGGCAACUGAACCAAGCUAUCUAUUGUAUGCCUAACUAUGGCUUCGUAGUUUUAUCGCCUCCAUUGCCAUUGUUAGCUAAUUAGUUUUUCUAUUUGUAUGACUGUAGUGGAUGCUGCCUUGCUUCUGGCACGGGUUAACUUUGAUCGUCUCAUGCCCAUGUUUAACUUGAUGAUGUUACUCUUCUGGCACAUAUUGAAUGUUUCUUUUUACUCUUGAACCGGCCAGAUAAUCGGUUGUUCUAUUACAU